AUUGAACGCUGGCGGCAGGCCUAACACAUGCAAGUCGAGCGAGCGGCGGACGGGUGAGUAAUGUAUGGGGAACUGCCCGAUGGAGGGGGAUAACUACUGGAAACGGUGGCUAAUACCGCAUACUAUCGGAUGAACCCAGAUGGGAAUAGCUAGUAGGUGGGGUAAAGGCUCACCUAGGCGACGAUCCCUAGCUGGUCUGAGAGGAUGACCAGCCACACUGGGACUGAGACACGGCCCAGACUCCUACGGGAGGCAGCAGUGGGGAAUAUUGCACAAUGGGCGCAAGCCUGAUGCAGCCAUGCCGCGUGUAUGAAGAAGGCCUUAGGGUUGUAAAGUACUUUCAGCGGGGAGGCGUUACUCGCAGAAGAAGCACCGGCUAACUCCGUGCCAGCAGCCGCGGUAAUUC
rnacentral:rRNA from 1 species